rnacentral:rRNA from 1 species
AGAGUUUGAUCCUGGCUCAGAUUGAACGCUGGCGGCAGGCCUAACACAUGCAAGUCGAGCGGUAACACAGAGAGCUUGCUCUCGGGUGACGAGCGGCGGACGGGUGAGUAAUGUCUGGGAAACUGCCUGAUGGAGGGGGAUAACUACUGGAAACGGUAGCUAAUACCGCAUAACGUCGCAAGACCAAAGUGGGGGACCUUCGGGCCUCAUGCCAUCAGAUGUGCCCAGAUGGGAUUAGCUAGUAGGUGGGGUAAUGGCUCACCUAGGCGACGAUCCCUAGCUGGUCUGAGAGGAUGACCAGCCACACUGGAACUGAGACACGGUCCAGACUCCUACGGGAGGCAGCAGUGGGGAAUAUUGCACAAUGGGCGCAAGCCUGAUGCAGCCAUGCCGCGUGUAUGAAGAAGGCCUUCGGGUUGUAAAGUACUUUCAGCGAGGAGGAAGGCGUUAAGGUUAAUAACCUUGGCGAUUGACGUUACUCGCAGAAGAAGCACCGGCUAACUCCGUGCCAGCAGCCGCGGUAAUACGGAGGGUGCAAGCGUUAAUCGGAAUUACUGGGCGUAAAGCGCACGCAGGCGGUCUGUCAAGUCGGAUGUGAAAUCCCCGGGCUCAACCUGGGAACUGCAUUCGAAACUGGCAGGCUAGAGUCUUGUAGAGGGGGGGUAGAAUUCCAGGUGUAGCGGUGAAAUGCGUAGAGAUCUGGAGGAAUACCGGUGGCGAAGGCGGCCCCCCUGGACAAAGACUGACGCUCAGGUGCGAAAGCGUGGGGAGCAAACAGGAUUAGAUACCCUGGUAGUCCACGCCGUAAACGAUGUCGACUUGGAGGUUGUGCCCUUGAGGCGUGGCUUCCGGAGCUAACGCGUUAAGUCGACCGCCUGGGGAGUACGGCCGCAAGGUUAAAACUCAAAUGAAUUGACGGGGGCCCGCACAAGCGGUGGAGCAUGUGGUUUAAUUCGAUGCAACGCGGAGAACCUUACCUACUCUUGACAUCCAGAGAACUUAGCAGAGAUGCUUUGGUGCCUUCGGGAACUCUGAGACAGGUGCUGCAUGGCUGUCGUCAGCUCGUGUUGUGAAAUGUUGGGUUAAGUCCCGCAACGAGCGCAACCCUUAUCCUUUGUUGCCAGCGGUUAGGCCGGGAACUCAAAGGAGACUGCCAGUGAUAAACUGGAGGAAGGUGGGGAUGACGUCAAGUCAUCAUGGCCCUUACGAGUAGGGCUACACACGUGCUACAAUGGCAUAUACAAAGAGAAGCGACCUCGCGAGAGCAAGCGGACCUCAUAAAGUAUGUCGUAGUCCGGAUUGGAGUCUGCAACUCGACUCCAUGAAGUCGGAAUCGCUAGUAAUCGUAGAUCAGAAUGCUACGGUGAAUACGUUCCCGGGCCUUGUACACACCGCCCGUCACACCAUGGGAGUGGGUUGCAAAAGAAGUAGGUAGCUUAACCUUCGGGAGGGCGCUUACCACUUUGUGAUUCAUGACUGGGGUGAAGUCGUAACAAGGUA